rnacentral:rRNA from 1 species
UACAGAGGUCUCAAGCGUUGUUCGGAUUCAUUGGGCGUAAAGGGUGCGUAGGCGGCGCGUAAGUCGGGGUGUGAAAUCUCGGGGCUUAACUCCGAAACUGCAUUCGAUACUGCCGUGCUUUGAGGACUGGAGAGGAGACUGGAAUUUACGGUGUAGCGGUGAAAUGCGUAGAUAUCGUAAGGAAGACCGUGGCGAAGGCGGGUCUCUGGAC